UUUGGGGUUUUCGGGCUUCCUGAAUGUAAUACCCGGGUAUUAGAUUUUAAGGCCAGGGUAAGGUUUAAGUUUUUUGGCAUUAGGGUUAAAAUCACUGUCCAAAACCUUUGUAGGAACACUUUUCCAACCUUUUGGAGUUGGUUAGACCAAAAAAAAAGAAAAAUGAAAAAAAAAUAUUUGGGGUGUUCAGGCUUCCUAAAAGUAAUACCCAGGUAUUAGGGUUAUUGGGCUAUGGUAAGGUUUAAGUUUUUUGGCGUUAGGGUUAAAAUCACUGUCCAAAACCUUUGUAGGAACUCUUUUCCAACCUUUUGGAGUUAGUUAGACCAAAAAAAAUGAAAAAUUAAAAAACAAUAUUUGGGGUUUUCGGGGUUCCUGAAUGUAAUACCCGGGUAUUAGAUUUUGAGGCUAGGGUAAGGUUUAAGUUUUUUGGCAUUAGGGUUAAAAUCACUGUCCAAAACCUUUGUAGGAACUCUUUUCCAACCUUUUGGAGUUAGUUACACCAACAAAAAUGUAAAAUGAAGAAAAAAAUAUUUGGGGUUUUCAGGCUUCCUGAAGGUAAUACCCGGGUAUUAGAUUUCAAGGCUAGGGUAAGGUUUAAGGUUUUUGGCGUUAGGGUUAAAAUCACU